rnacentral:rRNA from 1 species
UGGGGAAUUUUGGACAAUGGGCGAAAGCCUGAUCCAGCAAUGCCGCGUGUGUGAAGAAGGCCUUCGGGUUGUAAAGCACUUUUGUCCGGAAAGAAAUCCUUGGCUCUAAUACAGUCGGGGGAUGACGGUACCGGAAGAAUAAGCACCGGCUAACUACGUGCCAGCAGCCGCGGUAAUACGUAGGGUGCAAGCGUUAAUCGGAAUUACUGGGCGUAAAGCGUGCGCAGGCGGUUUGCUAAGACCGAUGUGAAAUCCCCGGGCUCAACCUGGGAACUGCAUUGGUGACUGGCAGGCUAGAGUAUGGCAGAGGGGGGUAGAAUUCCACGUGUAGCAGUGAAAUGCGUAGAGAUGUGGAGGAAUACGAUGGCGAAGGCAGCCCCCUGGGCCAAUACUGACGCUCAUGCACGAAAGCGUGGGGAGCAAAACAGGAUUAGAUACCCUGGUAGUCCACGCCCUAAAACGAUGUCAACUAGUUGUUGGGGAUUCAUUUCCUUAGUAACGUAGCUAACGCGUGAAGUUGACCGCCUGGGGAGUACGGUCGCAAGAUU